rnacentral:rRNA from 1 species
CAGCCGCCGCGGUAAAACGUAGGUGGCGAGCGUUGUCCGGAAUUAUUGGGCGUAAAGGGAGCGCAGGCGGACAUAUAAGUCCAUCUUAAAAGUGCGGGGCUCAACCCCGUGAGGGGAUGGAAACUGUAUGCCUUGAGUGCAGGAGAGGAAAGCGGAAUUCCCAGUGUAGCGGUGAAAUGCGUAGUUAUUGGGAGGAACACCAGUGGCGAAGGCGGCUUUCUGGACUGUAACUGACGCUGAGGCUCGAAAGCCAGGGGAGCGAACGGGAUUAGAGACCCGAGUAGUCCCUGUCUCUUAUACA